CAGCAGCCGCGGGAAUACGAAGGGUGCAAGCGUUAAUCGGAAUUACUGGGCGUAAAGCGUGCGUAGGCGGUUUGUUAAGUCUGUUGUGAAAUCCCCGGGCUCAACCUGGGAAUGGCAAUGGAUACUGGCAAGCUAGAGUGUGUCAGAGGAUGGUGGAAUUCCCGGUGUAGCGGUGAAAUGCGUAGAGACCGGGAGGAACAUCAGUGGCGAAGGCGGCCAUCUGGGACAACACUGACGCUGAGGCACGAAAGCGUGGGGAGCAAACAGGAUUAGAUACCCCUGUAGUCCCUGUCUCUUAUAC
rnacentral:rRNA from 1 species